rnacentral:rRNA from 1 species
AGAGUUUGAUCAUGGCUCAGAUUGAACGCUGGCGGCAUGCCUUACACAUGCAAGUCGAACGGCAGCACGGGAGCAAUCCUGGUGGCGAGUGGCGAACGGGUGAGUAAUACAUCGGAACGUGCCCAGUAAUGGGGGAUAGCCCGGCGAAAGCCGGAUUAAUACCGCAUACGACCUACGGGUGAAAGCGGGGGAUUCGCAAGAACCUCGCGUUAUUGGAGCGGCCGAUGUCAGAUUAGGUAGUUGGUGGGGUAAAGGCCUACCAAGCCUGCGAUCUGUAGUUGGUCUGAGAGGACGACCAGCCACACUGGGACUGAGACACGGCCCAGACUCCUACGGGAGGCAGCAGUGGGGAAUUUUGGACAAUGGGCGCAAGCCUGAUCCAGCAAUGCCGCGUGCAGGAAGAAGGCCUUCGGGUUGUAAACUGCUUUUGUCAGGGAAGAAAUCCUCUGGGUUAAUACCUCGGGGGGAUGACGGUACCUGAAGAAUAAGCACCGGCUAACUACGUGCCAGCAGCCGCGGUAAUACGUAGGGUGCGAGCGUUAAUCGGAAUUACUGGGCGUAAAGCGUGCGCAGGCGGUUGUGCAAGACAGGUGUGAAAUCCCCGGGCUUAACCUGGGAACUGCACUUGUGACUGCACGGCUAGAGUACGGUAGAGGGGGAUGGAAUUCCGCGUGUAGCAGUGAAAUGCGUAGAUAUGCGGAGGAACACCGAUGGCGAAGGCAAUCCCCUGGACCUGUACUGACGCUCAUGCACGAAAGCGUGGGGAGCAAACAGGAUUAGAUACCCCGGUAGUCC